UAAAAUAUCUACAUUCAAAGUACUCAUUC
rnacentral:piRNA from 1 species